UGAGCAACCUGCCCUUGACCCUGGAAUAACAGCUGGAAACAGCUGCUAAUACCGGAUAUGACCUCCGAUGGCAUCAUCUGGAGGUGGAAAGCUCCGACGGUCAAGGAUGGGCUCGCGGCCUAUCAGCUUGUUGGUGUGGGUAAUGGCCCACCAAGGCGACGACGGGUAGCCGGCUGAGAGGGUGACCGGCCACACUGGGACUGAGACACGGCCCAGACCUCUACGGGAGG
rnacentral:rRNA from 1 species